UAAGCAUAUCAAUAAGCGGAGGAAAAGAAACCAACAGGGAUUACCUCAGUAACGGCGAGUGAAGCGGUAAGAGCUCAAAUUUGAAAGCUGGCUCCUUCGGGGUCCGCAUUGUAAUUUGCAGAGGAUGUUUCGGGAGCAGCCCCCAUCUAAGUGUCCUGGAACGGACCGUCAUAGAGGGUGAGAAUCCCGUAUGGGAUGGGGUGUCUGCGCCCAUGUGAAACUCCUUCGACGAGUCGAGUUGUUUGGGAAUGCAGCUCUAAAUGGGUGGUAAAUUUCAUCUAAAGCUAAAUAUUGGCCGGAGACCGAUAGCGCACAAGUAGAGUGAUCGAAAGAUGAAAAGCACUUUGAAAAGAGAGUUAAAAAGCACGUGAAAUUGUUGAAAGGGAAGCGCUUGCGAUCAGACUCGCCUUGGGGGUUCAGCCGGCAUUCGUGCCGGUGUACUUCCCCCAGGGCGGGCCAGCGUCGGUUUGGGUGGCCGGUCAAAGGCCCUUGGAAUGUAACGCCUCUCGGGGCGUCUUAUAGCCAAGGGUGCCAUGCGGCCUACCUGGACCGAGGAACGCGCUUCGGCUCGGACGCUGGCAUAAUGGUCGUAAGCGACCCGUCUUGAAACACGGACCAAGGAGUCUAACAUCUACGCGAGUGUUCGGGUGUCAAACCCGUGCGCGCAGUGAAAGCGAACGGAGGUGGGAACCCUUUGGGUGCACCAUCGACCGAUCCUGAUGUCUUCGGAUGGAUUUGAGUAAGAGCGUAGCUGUUGGGACCCGAAAGAUGGUGAACUAUGCCUGAAUAGGGCGAAGCCAGAGGAAACUCUGGUGGAGGCUCGCAGCGGUUCUGACGUGCAAAUCGAUCGUCGAAUUUGGGUAUAGGGGAGAAAGACUAAUCGAACCAUCUAGUAGCUGGUUCCUGCCAAU
rnacentral:rRNA from 1 species